UGGGGAAUUUUGGACAAUGGGCGAAAGCCUGAUCCAGCAAUGCCGCGUGUGUGAAGAAGGCCUUCGGGUUGUAAAGCACUUUUGUCCGGAAAGAAAUCCUUGGCUCUAAUACAGUCGGGGGAUGACGGUACCGGAAGAAUAAGCACCGGCUAACUACGUGCCAGCAGCCGCGGUAAUACGUAGGGUGCAAGCGUUAAUCGGAAUUACUGGGCGUAAAGCGUGCGCAGGCGGUUUGCUAAGACCGAUGUGAAAUCCCCGGGCUCAACCUGGGAACUGCAUUGGUGACUGGCAGGCUAGAGUAUGGCAGAGGGGGGUAGAAUUCCACGUGUAGCAGUGAAAUGCGUAGAGAUGUGGAGGAAUACCGAUGGCGAAGGCAGCCCCCUGGGCCAAUACUGACGCUCAUGCACGAAAGCGUGGGGAGCAAACAGGAUUAGAUACCCUGGUAGUCCACGCCCUAAACGAUGUCAACUAGUUGUUGGGGAUUCAUUUCCUUAGUAACGUAGCUAACGCGUGAAGUUGACCGCCUGGGGAGUACGGUCGCAAGAUUAAAACUUAAAUAAAUUGACGGGGUCAUAGCUGUUUCCU
rnacentral:rRNA from 1 species